rnacentral:rRNA from 1 species
CCCUUAGAUGUUCUGGGCCGCACACGCGCUACACUGAAGGAGGCAGCGUGUACUCCUGGAUCGAAAGAUUUGGGUAACCCGCGAAUCUCCUUCGUGCUAGGGAUUGAGGUUUGCAAUUAUCCUUCAUGAACGAGGAAUUCCCAGUAAGUGCAAGUCAUAAGCUUGCGCUGACUACGUCGCUGCCCUUUGUACACACCGCCCGUCGCUACUACCGAUUGAAUGAUUUAGUGAGGACUUCGGACUGGGACCGAUGCGGCUUUCGGGCUGCGUCGGUAUUCUGGAAAGAUGUCCAAACUGUAUCAUUUAGAGGAAGUAAAAGUCGUAACA